rnacentral:misc_RNA from 1 species
UCUCCGUAGGUGAACCUGCGGAGGGAUCAUUACUGAGUGAGGGCUCACGCCCGACCUCCAACCCUUUGUGAACCAAACUUGUUGCUUCGGGGGCGACCCUGCCGACGACUUCGUCGCCGGGCGCCCCCGAAGGUCUCCCAACACUGCAUCUUUGCGUCGGAGUUUAACACAAAUGAAACAAAACUUUCAACAACGGAUCUCUUGGUUCCAGCAUCGAUGAAGAACGCAGC